GAUUCCAGAACUCAAAUUUAUAUGACAAGAACAAAUAUAUAAUAGCCCAGAAAAACAACAACACUCUCAAAAAGCUAUUUAGCCAUACAAAAGACAAAAUACAAAAUCCUGAUAAACACAAUGUGAUAUACCAAAUACAAUGCGAUGGCAACCCUAACGAAAAAUGUGGGAAAUAUUAUGUUGGUACCACAAAAAAUAAAUUGAAAACUAGACUAUCAGCCCAUAAGUCUGAUUUAAAAAUGAGAAACCAAAAUUACACACAAAAAACAGCGCUUGCGGAACACUGUAUAUCAAGCAACCAUCAGCCAAACCUUGAACAAGUAAAAAUACUGCAAACGGAAAACCAUUACCACAGAAGACUCACAUUAGAAAUGUUACACAUCAACAAUCUACACACAACAGAGAGAAUAAAUUUUAAGAGCGACACAGAUAACGCAGCUUAUUGCUAUAGACAUUUGACACAAAAGAAGAGAUCGUGCAAUAUGUAAACAAAAUCAGUGCAAUAUUAACAGCCGACGAUGAUAGUGCAUUCUAUCGUAGUUAUUAAGUUAACUUGACGAUUAUUGUUUACAAAUCCCCUGAAGAUGCAAUUUAUACAAUUGCGAAAUAUCGGAGAUCAAAAAUGAAAUAAAAUAAAAAACUGGCCUAAAGCUCAAAAAAACUCA